rnacentral:rRNA from 1 species
UACGUAGGUGGCAAGCGUUUAUCCGGAAUUAUUGGGCGUAAAGCGCGCGCAGGCGGUUUCUUAAGUCUGAUGUGAAAGCCCACGGCUCAACCGUGGAGGGUCAUUGGAAACUGGGGAACUUGAGUGCAGAAGAGAAAAGCGGAAUUCCACGUGUAGCGGUGAAAUGCGUAGAUAUCAGGAGGAAUACCGAUGGCGAAGGCAGGUCUCUGGGCUGACACUGACGCUCAUGCACGAAAGCGUGGGGAGCAAACAGG